rnacentral:rRNA from 1 species
GGAGGGUGCGAGCGUUAAUCGGAAUUACUGGGCGUAAAGCGCGCGUAGGCGGCCUGAUCAGUCGGAUGUGAAAGCCCUGGGCUUAACCUGGGAAUUGCACUCGAUACUGUCAGGCUAGAGUAUGGGAGAGGGAAGUGGAAUUUCCGGUGUAGCGGUGAAAUGCGUAGAUAUCGGAAGGAACACCAGUGGCGAAGGUGACUUCCUGGCCCAAUACUGACGCUCAGGUGCGAAAGCGUGGGUAGCGAACAGGAUUAGAUACCCUGGUAGUCCACGCCGUAAACGAUGAGAACUAGAUGUCGGGAGGAUUUACCUCUCGGUGUCGCAGCUAACGCGUUAAGUUCUCCGCCUGGGGAUACGCCGGCAACGGUA